rnacentral:rRNA from 1 species
AACGCGAAGAACCUUACCAGGUCUUGACAUCGAUGUAAUCCUGUAGAGAUACGGGGUGCCUUCGGGCAACAGAAGACAGGUGGUGCAUGGUUGUCGUCAGCUCGUGUCGUGAGAUGUUGGGUUAAGUCCCGCAACGAGCGCAACCCUUAUGAUCAGUUACUAACGGGUGAUGCCGAGGACUCUGAUGAGACUGCCGGGGACAACUCGGAGGAAGGUGGGGACGACGUCAAAUCAUCAUGCCCCUUAUGACCUGGGCUACACACGUGCUACAAUGGUGACAACAAAGAGGAGCGAGCUGGUAACAGUAAGCGGAUCUCAAAAAAGUCAUCUCAGUUCGGAUUGUGGGCUGCAACCCGCCCACAUGAAGUUGGAGUUGCUAGUAAUCGCGAAUCAGCAUGUCGUUGUGAAUACGUUCCCGGGUCUUGUACACACCG